rnacentral:rRNA from 1 species
CCUCCUAUCUAAGCAAAAGAAAAUUUUUUAAAUUUUCAUCUACAGUUUUGAAACACUUAGUUCUAAUAAGUAGUAAGUUAAUCUCUUUUAAGAAAAAGGAA